GGAAUUUUCCGCAAUGGGCGAAAGCCUGACGGAGCAACGCCGCGUGAGGGAGGAAGGCCUUAGGGUUGUAAACCUCUUUUCUCAGGGAAGAAGAACUGACGGUACCUGAGGAAUCAACAUCGGCUAACUCCGUGCCGGCAGCCGCGGUAAUACGGAGGAUGCAAGCGUUAUCCGGAAUUAUUGGGCGUAAAGCGUCCGUAGGUGGCUAAGCAAGUCUGCUGUUAAAUAGCGGAGCUAAACUCCGUAAAGGCGGUGGAAACUGCAUAGCUAGAGUGUGGUAGGGGUAGAGGGAAUUCCCAGUGUAGCGGUGAAAUGCGUAGAUAUUGGGAAGAACACCGGUGGCGAAGGCGCUCUACUGGGCCACAACUGACACUGAUGGACGAAAGCUAGGGGAGCGAAAGGG
rnacentral:rRNA from 1 species